rnacentral:rRNA from 1 species
AGAUGGCGACCGGCGCACGGGUGAGUAACACGUAUCCAACCUGCCGAUAACUCGGGGAUAGCCUUUCGAAAGAAAGAUUAAUACCCGAUGGUAUAAUCAGACCGCAUGGUCUUGUUAUUAAAGAAUUUCGGUUAUCGAUGGGGAUGCGUUCCAUUAGGCAGUUGGUGAGGUAACGGCUCACCAAACCUUCGAUGGAUAGGGGUUCUGAGAGGAAGGUCCCCCACAUUGGGACUGAGACACGGUCCAA